CCUAAUACAUGCAAGUCGAACGAGCAAUGUGUAGCAAUACACAUGGUAAGUGGCGAACGGGUUAUACAUGGGUAACCUACCCUCGAGUGGGGAAUAACUAGCCGAAAGGUUAGCUAAUACCUGCGUACGCUUCCUAGACUGCGGUUUGGGAAGGAAAGCGAUACCGUGGGUAUCGCGCUCUUGGAUGGGCUCAUGCCCUAUCAGCUUGUUGGUGAGGUAACGGCUCGCCAAGGCUCGACGGGUAGCUGAUCUGAGAGGAUGAUCAGCCACACUGGCACUGCGACACGGGCCAGACUCCUACGGGAGGCAGCAGUAAGGAAUAUUGCGCAAUGGGCGAAAGCCUGACGCAGCGACGCCGCGUGGGGGAUGAAGGUCUUCGGAUUGUAAACCCCAUUUCGGGCAGGGAAGAUGGGAUGGGGUAACCCAUUCGGACGGUACCUCCAGAAG
rnacentral:rRNA from 1 species